ACCAGCAGCAAGAUGGUACCACAGUCCAACGCGCUCCUAUUCCUGGUGUUCUGCAUCUCAGGUGUGUCUGGGGACAUUGUAAUGACCCAGUCUCCAAGCUCCGUGACUAGGUCAAUAGGAGAGAGUGUCACCAUCAACUGCAAGUCCAGCCAGAGUCUUCUGUACAGCUCUAACCAGAAGAACUACUUAAACUGGCACCAGCAGAAAGCUGGGCAGCGUCCUAAGCUGCUCAUCUACUACGCAUCCACCCGGGCAUCUGGAGUCCCCGACCGAUUCAGCGGCAGUGGGUCUGGGACAGAUUUCACCCUCACCAUCAGCAACCUCCAGGCUGAAGACGUGGCGACUUAUUACUGUCAGCAGGAUUAUAGCUCUCCUCCCACAGUGCUGCAGCCUCGUACACAAACCUCCUCCCCAGGGCAGGGGGCGAGCACGUCCAUCAUCUCCAUCCCUGUGCGGGUCAUGCCACGCUGGGCUGGUGCAGCUGAGGGUCAAGACAUGGUCCAGAGCCCUCAGCUGCACAUGAUGCCCUGA